rnacentral:rRNA from 1 species
UCCCCUAAGACUACAAAAUUAACUUUUAGUGUAAAAAACAAAUUAUAACUAAACCCAAUCUAGCCAUAAAUAAACUAUUCCAACAAACCAUAACCUCAGAACUCGGAUUAGAUACCCGACUACUGUAUGGCCCAACACAUAAAAGAAUACUACGAGCGAAAGCUUAAAACUCAAACAAUGUGGCGGUGCUUUACUCCUCAUCAGGGGAUCCUGUGGCUUAAUUCGAUAAUCCACGAAGAUCUUAGCUACUCUUGUUUACAGCUUGUGUAUGGCCGUUUAUGCUUGCUCAUAGAAGAAAAAAAAGGAAGCAAUAGGACUAAUUACCCAAAAAUUCAGGUGACAUACAGCCAAUGAGUAGCAGAUCCAUGGGAUACAAAUAAACAUACUACCAGAUUUUAAAACCUAAAACUUUAAUGAAGGAGGACUUGAAAGUAAGAUUUAUCCUUAUAUAAUAUAGAUCUGGACAAGAACUAAAGCGCGCACAAAUCGCCCGUCACUCCGACAAUAAAGUCGGAUAAGUCGUAACAUAGUAGGGGUAAUGGAAAUUGCCCCUAUCACA